rnacentral:rRNA from 1 species
AGUGAACGCUGGCGGUAUGCCUAACACAUGCAAGUCGAACGGCAGCACAGUAAGAGCUUGCUCUUACGGGUGGCGAGUGGCGGACGGGUGAGGAAUACAUCGUAAUCUACUUUUUCGUGGGGGAUAACGUAGGUAAACUUACGCUAAUACCGCAUACGACCUACGGGUGAAAGCAGGGGAUCUUCGGACCUUGCGCGAUUGAAUGAGCCGAUGUCGGAUUAGCUAGUUGGCGGGGUAAAGGCCCACCAAGGCGACGAUCCGUAGCUGGUCUGAGAGGAUGAUCACCCACACUGGAACUGAGACACGGUCCAGACUCCUACGAGAGGCAGCAGUGGGGAAUAUUGGACAAUGGGCGCAAGCCUGAUCCAGCCAUACCGAGUGGGUGAAGAAGGCCUUCGGGUUGUAAAGACCUUUUGUUGGGAAAGAAAAGCAGCAGGUUAAUACCCAGCUGUUCUGACGGUACCCAAAGAAUAAGCACCGGCUAACUUCGUG